rnacentral:piRNA from 1 species
UGUUAGCAUCUCAGGGCUCAUAGCU